rnacentral:rRNA from 1 species
CAAUAGCCGCGGUAAUACGAAGGGUGCAAGCGUUACUCGGAAUUACUGGGCGUAAAGCGUGCGUAGGUGGUGGUUUAAGUCCGUUGUGAAAGCCCUGGGCUCAACCUGGGAAUUGCAGUGGAUACUGGGUCACUAGAGUGUGGUAGAGGAUAGUGGAAUUUCCGGUGUAGCAGUGAAAUGCGUAGAGAUCGGAAGGAACAUCUGUGGCGAAGGCGACUAUCUGGGCCAACACUGACACUGAGGCACGAAAGCGUGGGGAGCAAACAGGAUUAGAUACCCCGGUAGUCCCUGUCUCUUAUAA